rnacentral:rRNA from 1 species
GAUGAACGCUGGCGGCGUGCCUAAUACAUGCAAGUCGAGCGAACGGACGAGAAGCUUGCUUUUCUGAUGUUAGCGGCGGACGGGUGAGUAACACGUGGAUAACCUACCUAUAAGACUGGGAUAACUUCGGGAAACCGGAGCUAAUACCGGAUAAUAUUUUGAACCGCAUGGUUCAAAAGUGAAAGACGGUCUUGCUGUCACUUAUAGAUGGAUUCGCGCUGCAUUAGCUAGUUGGUAAGGUAACGGCUUACCAAGGCAACGAUGCAUAGCCGACCUGAGAGGUUGAUCGGCCACACUGGAACUGAGACACGGUCCAGACUCCUACGGGAGGCAGCAGUAGGGAAUCUUCGGCAAUGGGCGAAAGCCUGACGGAGCAACACCGCGUGAGUGAUGAAGGUCUUCGGAUCGUAAAACUCUGUUAUUAGGGAAGAACAUAUGUGUAAGUAACUGUGCACAUCUUGACGGUACCUAAUGAGAAAGCCACGGCUAACUGCGUG